UGACUUUACCAUGUCCGAGGCAGCCAAGUAUCUACACACAUGUAUGCAAUUUUGCAUGCAAAGCAAAGCAUAGUAAGUAGAACAGCUUAUUUUCAUUUUUGAGGGGAAGCCAGCAAACAGGUAACACACAAUGUAUGCCAUGGAGUGCAAAGCUGGAACACGAAGCCCAUCACGUGUACCGGUCAUGUACAAAAUGAACUUACGCCAUUUUUUGGUGCUAGCGUGUUGAUUAUGUACAAAACCAUCCUGUGUCAAGUCUAUACAUUACUCCUAGAAACGAGCCUGGGCUACUCGGCCUCCCAGGGGCUUCGACGGGGGGAUUUCAUCCUGCUCGUUCAUCUUGGCGUGUACAGUAACUUUGGAGUUUCACUUUUUACCAUAGCCGUCGGAUGCAGGGAAAUGUUUUCUCGCUUUGUUCAUCUUCUGAACGAGUCCAUGACGAGUAGGGCCAAGUACGUGGUGGGCCGACAGUUCCAGGCAGCGAGAUCUCCUCGUCCGCGUCACUUUGCUUUUCCUAUCGACCAAUCCUCUCCCGUCCCCGCCCCAUUCCGCCGCAUCCUCUCCAAUCCCUGCCUCGUCUCCUCCCCGAUCCUCUUCUUUCUCUCCUCGUACCGAUCCGCCGCCUCCUACCGCCGACCAAGACGACCGCCCCCACCUCUCAGAUGCGAGGAGGUAGAGCGCCGGGGCAAGGGCAGCGGCGACAAUGGUUGGCUGGGAGAGAGGACGCGGAGGAGGACGUCGUGGAGGAGCGGGAGGUGGGUGGCGGCUGGGAAGGCGGGGCGCUGCCCGCGGCCGCACGCGAAGAAGAGGACAACCUCGACGUGGUGAAGACAGUGCAGUCGGUCGGACGGCAGAGAUGCGGCUGUUGGACGGCAGCAAGGGGAGGCCGCGGCGAGCUCAGGCAGGGGCGGCGUAGGCGGGCGGGCGAGCUCCAGCUUUAGCGGGGGCGGCCGUGAGCGAGCGCAGUGAGCUCCGGUCCGGCAAGGGGCGGGUGCAGCGACCUUGGACAGGGGCGGGCGCAGGCGAGCCCCAGCUACAGCGGGGAGCAGUCACAUCCCAUCAUCUACCAGGUAAAAUCCAAACGCUAGCUCAUGUAUUUCCCGAUCUGACAGUGAUGGGCAUGGACAGUGAUCUGCUGCAGACUGAAGAAUGACAGUGAUGAGAUGGAGUUGACAAAUUUCAAAUGGACGACUUCUGGGCUCGUUCUCGUCUCCGUCAGGAAGGGCUCUAUGUUUCUAGCAUUGAAGGCAUGUUUCCCUUGUAAACAAAGAGCCAAAACUGAAAGGCGUCUCAUGGUUUGAACUGAAUACUGCUCUUCUUGAGCUUAUUGAUAAUUGCUGUUCGAGAAGGCUGCAAGCUUGCUGGCAUACCAUUCAACAGUGAUGAACCAAAUGAAACACGGAUUAGGGUACAUUCUUGAGCUGGCUCAACUUUACAACAAAGGCCUUCCUUUGCCAGUUUUUCCCGUUAAUUUAUUUGUACUGCAUUAAUGCUUUAUUUCUUUUCACAUUUAUUGUAACAUUUUGUCAAGUUAAUGGCAUGCACUAUAUGUUGAGUUUGUUUGUUUGAGUUGUUAUCUCAGAGUUGAAGCAUGUCCUUUUU